GCGAUAGCUCGUUUCGCAAGGGUGGUCGGCUAGCCCCGUGAAAGGGGGUGAGGCCUUUUGACAGUUUUUGAAUCGAUGACAUUGAUGAUUUCAUUUGCUUGUCUGAUCAUCGCUGUCUUAACUUUUAACCAAAAUAAAUAGACCUCCCUUGACCGCAAAUUGAGGGAGAGGUCUAUCCUGUUUCAUAGGCCGAACCCCUGCGGGAACGACUAUGGCAAGUGACCGUCGGUGCUGCAACACCGCGG
rnacentral:sRNA from 1 species